rnacentral:rRNA from 1 species
AUCAGACACGGUGUCAGCCGCCGCGGUAAUACAGAGGGUGCAAGCGUUAAUCGGAAUUACUGGGCGUAAAGCGCGCGUAGGUGGUUUGUUAAGUUGGAUGUGAAAUCCCCGGGCUCAACCUGGGAACUGCAUCCAAAACUGGCAAGCUAGAGUAUGGUAGAGGGUGGUGGAAUUUCCUGUGUAGCGGUGAAAUGCGUAGAUAUAGGAAGGAACACCAGUGGCGAAGGCGGACCACCUGGACGUGAUACUGACACUGAGGUGCG